AACAGGGAGAUGGAGGCGAUUCUGCAGUGUUGGAGGAAGGGACGUUGAGUCCCACACAUGUGGGGGUGCCCCAUUUGGAUUGUUCUGGGGACCUAGAACCUGGGGAGGAAGAUGUUGCCAGCUUGACGCAAGGGUCUCGUAGGUCAAUGAGGAAGACUGCUGGACAGCACUCAAACCCAUUUAAAUUGCCACAAUCCAUUAUAAAAUGAGCAAAAUUUUAAGUGUGCUCUCUUUUCAGCUCAUCGUCGGGUCGCCGAUGCCCUUUGAAGGGGAGGGUUGUAACAAGUGUCACCUGGCAGUUUGUUGCUCGCUGCCAGGUGAUUGGCUGAAGAGCUGUGAAAAGGUAGUGGGUGUGUGGGGUGAAGUCAGCGCUCUUCUGUGGAAAAAACCAGAGGCAAUUAAUUCACUCAGGUGCGAGUGGGUAUACUGUCGUGUGACCACGAAUUUUAAUAGAAGAAUUGAUCAAGCCCUAGAUCGACUGCGUGCAGGGAAACUGAUCAAUAUUAUCACAGGCCAUACAUAGCACUGAUUCCCAGCUGCGCUGAGACCCGAAUUGUUUGCAGUGUGUGCCACGAUUGCAGUGUCACUAAGCGGGGUGUGACGGGUUGUAGUGUUAUUUCGCACAGUUUGUGUGGUAAGUCUCAUGCGCAGCUGGGAUAUCGGCAGGAUGUGUUGUAAGUCCUGUCUGGAAACGACUGGGAAUUUGUAUGUUUAACUUAUGUAAUAAAUAAAUGAUCAAUUAUUUCUUUGCCCCGUUUACUCAUCCCUUGUCCUCGG